UGAACUUUACUAAGCAUUCCUUUUGAGUCAAGGUAGCUCAGGAAGGGCCAACCUCUUAGAGUGAACUAAGGGUCAGGUUUGUCCCUGAGGCGCUUUCCAGAUGAAAAACUUUAGAAGUGAUUUGCACUGAUAUCUCAUUAUACCUUUUCUGCUGGGGAGUUCAUCUACCAACUUUGGACAUUUACAUUGGUUGUAAUUAUGGUGUUCUCCUUCUCUUACACUAUGAUCAGAUGUUUGAUCGUAGGCACUCAACAAUUUUGAGUAGGGUGGCUGAUGAGUUAUCAGUAGUACGUUUUGAGACGUUCCUACUGACUAUGGAUCUUCUUAUGGUUUGUCAGCCACAAAGUUUUGGGACUUGGCAACUGGUACAUUGCUUCAUAGACUAUCUCUGAUGUUUUAGAGCUGCUGUUCUGUUAGCAGAUCACUGCUCCCCCAUAGUUGAUACUGUCUUCUCAGAGAGACAUAAGUUCUUCUUCUUCAUGUGUAGCAGAAGGCAGCCUUGCAUAUCUCAUUCUGGCUGAAGUCAUUAAAUCUUCUUGUAUUGUAGAAAUGGGCAUCUUCAGGGUUGAUCAUUCUACGAUCCUUUGAUAGCACUACGAACGUAGUCUUCCUUGUCAGUGUGUACUUGUGGAGAUCUGCUCCCAUAAUGAGUUCUUCAUGUUUGAUGCUCGAUGAUCCUCUGAUGUGAGCUUCCUUGAGGAUUCUUCUCUUAUAACCUUCUUUGCAUGAUUGACCAUAUGAGACCCUUUUCAUCUUUGGUUAAAUGGUCUGCUUCCAUAUAAAGAUCAGCAGCCAUGUGAGCUUAAGUCAGAUUAGCUCAACAAGUCUUCAAGGGCAUGCUUUGACAUAUAAGAGUUUUAUCAGAAUCAUUUUUGAACAGUCUUAAGCCUUCUGCUGGUUGAAUCUUUAUUGACUGAAGUCCUCUGCUUCAGCAUUCCUUAGUGUGGCCAGGUGGACCAGGUACCUGUAGGUUAGAUACAUUUCUAUUUUUGGUACCCAUAAUUAAAUAGGUCCUGCUAGGUUAGUUUUCUUAAUCUCUGUUCCUCAUAUAUUUGAACAAUCAACAUAUUGAUCACCAUCAAUCAUAUUUAUGCAUGUAACUAAUUUAGAUAAUACAUUUUGAGAUGCAUGAUGGUGAGUGUGUGUAAGAUUUACCAUUUUAAUAAAAUACUCUUUUCCUUUGAUGGUUUCAUCAUUUGCUUGGUUAUGUUCACAGAGUUUAAAUAUUCACAGCGUAAGAAUCAACACUAUUACUUAUUUGUAUCUGGUUGAUUCAUAGAGGUGAUCUGUUUCUACAAAUCUUGAAGAUACUGUUGUAGAACUGAUCAUACUCUGUGUGUUAUCAAACACUUAGAACAUAGGUUUGUUCAUACAUACUCACCCAACAACAAAGAUUAUUUUACAUAAGAUUAAUUUAAACUUUGAUAUGCUUAUGACCUAUUUCAGAUUUCUUUCAAGAUGUCAUCUUCAGCCUAAAACUUGGAUGGAGAGAAAGUUUGUAAGCAUUUGAGUUUCCAACCUCAGAGUACUUUCUCUCUUCACCUUUUUAGGUAGAUUAUGAUUUCUUGAAAGAAUACUGUUAUAGUUCAUAAGGAGGUGCAACAUGAUGUACAGAGUUAUAUUAGUGAGGAACCGUACCUUUCUACUGUCAGUUUCUUAACAGUCAUUUAUCUUCGAUAUACUGAGGUUAGGAAUUGAUGUGCAUAGUUUCUCAUUUUCUCCUGACAACUUGUUGCUCCAGUUGACUUUCAAUCAAUCAGUCAUGGUCUUGAAGAUACAAGGUAAGAGAAUCUCAGCAUCUUUAGUUCCUUGACAUCCUUGAGUUCACAAGGUUUACAUCCAGCUGCUGGUUGGCCAGAUACGUGUCUGAGAAGUUCUUCUUUCUUCUCUGGAUAAGCAUUUUUUAGCAUGUAUGACCUUUUCAUCUUUUCAGGCUGGUGGAUGUUUGACUCUUUUCUAUUGAUGUCUCUUGAGCUUCCAAGCCUCGACUUCAGACUACAAGAUUGACUGCAUGCAAGGAUUGGUCUUGUUGAUAUGGCAAUCAAGAGCAUGGACCAAUCUGAGUAGCUUUAGGAGUAUAUACUCAUUUACCUAUACACAAUAUUUCUAACGUGUGAGCUCAUCUGCAUAUAACAAGUAACUUACUACUAAACUAAGUUUAGAACAAUGUUUGUACCUUGGAUCAGACUCAAUGCGAUUAGCUUUUGAAUAUAGCAUGAGAACCUGCUCUGAUACCAAUUGUUAGUUCCCAGUAGGCACAUAAUAGAUCUAGAAGGGGGGGGGGUUAAAUUGAUCCUUUUUAAUUUU
rnacentral:lncRNA from 1 species